rnacentral:rRNA from 1 species
ACCCGCUGAAUUUAAGCAUAUAGGUAGGUGGAGGAAUUGUAGCCAAAUGGGCUUUCGAAAGUAGUUGCGAAUGAAUUGCCAUCUGCUCAUCCACAGUAUGGUGCUGCUUGUCAACAUAUGUGUUGUGUUUGUUUUGUGACUAACUAUGGCGUGGAUGUUUGUCUCUGUAAAUAGAGCAGCAAUGAAGGUGACACUCCUGGUUGGCAUGUUUAGAUCUUUUGUGAACGGCAUGGUUCCAGUGGAUUCACAUUCUUUGGAAAUGGAAUGCUAAGUGUGUGGUAAGAUUCAUGCUAAGCAAAAUACAAGUGUUUGAACCUGAUAGUGAACAAGUACCUUAAGGGAACUAUGAAAAGUACUUUGAAAAGAAAGUUAAGGAAGCCUGAAAUUGCUGUGCUGCAAGCGAACAAGACAUGAAGUGCUUGGUGUAAUGUGUGUUUGUGAUCAGCUAUUUGCAGUGUAACCAUGUGGAUGUGCAGAUUACAUGAUUAAAUGUGUGGUUUCCAAAGUUAUCGUUACCCCACCCCUGCAUCGUGGUACGCCUUGCCUUCAUUGCACAUGUGUGCGUUGCACUCAUGGCAGCAUGUGUGUGUGUGUGUUUACAUGCUGGGCUUGCAUAUUCAAGCGCUGGUGCUUGUGUUCGAUUGAUUGUGUGACUGCACAGCCCCGCUGUCAGCACUCUGUGCAUGACGUUGUGGUGGUAAUUCAAAUGGUCUUUGCUCGACCCGUCUUGAAACACGGACCAAGGAGUUUAACAGAUUUGCAAGCAUUGCUUUAAUUACAAUUGACUGCGCAACGAAGGUGAAUGCCUGAUGUUGUUAACUUGCAACCAACACGCCUCUGGACUUGUAUGCGCUGGAGCAUGUGUGUUACGACCCGAAAGAUGGUGAACUAUGCCUGCAAAGUGUAAAUUUAGUGGAAAUUCUGAUGGAGGCUUGUAGCGGUACUGACGUGCAAAUUGUUCGUCUCAUGUAGGUAUAGGGGCGAAAGACUAAUCGAACCAUCUAGUAGCUGGUUCCAUCUGAAGUUUCCCUCAGGAUAGCUGGGUUGAUGUAUUUUUAAAAUGUAAAGUGAAUGAUUAGAGGCAUUGGGAAUGUGUGGUUCUUGACCUAUGCUCAAACUUUAAAUGCUUAAGACACAAUAAAUGCUCGAUUGACUUAUUGAUCACAAAAUGCACCAGACGACCCAAGUGGGCUGCCUUUGGUAAGCAGAGCUGGCGAUGAGGGAUGAACCUGGCGUUGGGUUGAUGUGCUUCACUCCAUGCACAUGUGAUGCCAUAAAGGGUGUUGAUUUAUUUGGACAGCUGGGCGGUGGUCAUGGAAGUUGAAACCCGCUAAGGAGUGUGUAACAACUCACCUGCCGAAUGGAUUAGCCCCGAAAAUGGAUGGCGCUUAAGCAAGUGACUUGCACCCGACCAAUGACGCAUAGUGUAUGCAGCAAUGUGUAGGAGGGCUUGUGGGCUGUGUUGGACCUUGUGGUGUAACCCUGAGUGAAACAGUGUCCAGUGCAGAUCUUGGUGGUAGUAGC